GGGCGGUCACGUGACUGGCGGGGGGGGGGACGCGGCGGAGAGGCGUAAACAAGCUGGCGGCGCCUGGGUGUGGUUGGAGCGCCCUGCCUCUUGCCCCCCGAGUCGUUUCUGCCCUUCGCUUGCCUGGCGCCCCCCCGAGGGUCUCUCUGUGGGAGGCCUCAGAGUAGCGAUCCUGUUUCCCAAGGAGCUGCUGGGGCCCGCGUGGGUGAAGGGCCUGCUUGGGAGCUUUGGAGUUGCAGCUCACCUGGGAAGGGGCGGAAAGCUGGGGGCCAGGGCAGCCCUCCUUCCUGGGCUAAACAUUUUCAGAAGCCCGCCUCCGGGAUUGCGGGGGACCCCCCUGGCUUCUGCCUUCAAGUAGCUCACACUUCACACCUAGUCAUGACAUCUAGGGAAAACCAGCCCUAAUAGGAGACAGCUUGAAAAUCAGAACGCCUUAUUCCGUUUCCUGCUGAAACAAGGCUUUAAGUCCUCCAAGCCUCAGUUUCUUCCUCUGUGAAAUGGGCAUAAUGACAUCUGUGACGUGAAGAAUCAAGGAGAUGAAGUAUGGACAGCGUUAAGCCCAGAGUCCUGCGCCUAGUAAAUGCUCACUCACUAGGCUGGAGUGCAAUGGCACGAUCUCCGCUCACUGCAACCUCCGCCUCCUGGGUUCAAGCGACUCUCCUGCCUCAGCCUCCCGAGUAGCUGGGAUUACAGGUCUCUGCAGAGGCCAUGAAAAAUGUGCCACUCAGCUUUUCUGCUAAUUGUUGAAGGCCCAGCUGCCACCGCUCUGGAUCUACACCCCAUUUGCAAUGAAGCCACACAUCUCGUGAGCCACUCCCAGCCCGUGACUGGGCGCAGCAGGGGCCCUAAUGCAGGAUAGCUCUGAGGAGGUGCGGGACCCUUGACAGUGGAGGACAUUGGCCCGAGAACUCUUCAUCGACCUGAUCAAACCUCUCUUGGAACUGCAAAGCAGUCUGAGACUCUUCUCCCAGUUUAUUAUCUCCCUAUUAACUAUCUAUAUUGUAGCUCAUUGGAAAAAGAGUCAUUAAUUUUGAUUAUCAAAUUCACUUCUUUUUCUUUUGACUUGCACUUUGGGUUUUUGAGAUUUUGUUUAGCAAUGCCGCUUCCAACCCUUAGUCACACGCAGUCCCCCUCUCCUCACAGGUUUCAGAUCCAUAUCAUAGCUGAAGGCUCUCUCUGCUGUCCAGCUCCUCCUCUGUGUGGGACAUUUAUCUGAGUUUUAAAAUGUCCUUCCCAAAAGUUGACUUUAGUAUUAUUUUAUUAUUUAUUUUUGAGACAGUGUCUCACUCCAGUCCAGACUAGAGUACAGUGGCCUGAUCAUAGCUCACUGCAACCUGGAACACCUAGGUUCAAGCCAUCCUCCUAUCUCAGCCUCCUGAGUAGCUGGGACUCCAGGCACACACCACCACACUGGGAUAAUUUUUUUUUUUUUUUUUUGUAGAGGUGGGCUCUCACCAUGUUGCCCAGGCUGGUCUUGAACUCCUGGACUCAAGCAAAUCUCCCACCUCGGCCUCCCAAAGGGCUGGGAUUACAGGCAUGAGCCACCAUGCCUAACCUGUAGUGUAUUAUUGAUUUAUUAUUAGGUAUUUUAUAGUUUUUAAUAUUAUUUUGUGUGUUUUUUUAAAUUUUCAACUUGGUUGUUACUGAAGUAGAGAAAUUCUAUUGAUUUUUGUAGGUUGAUCUUAUAUCUUGCACCUAGUUGAACUCUCUAAUUUUACUAGUUUGUCAUUUUAUUUUUAUUUAUGUUGAGUUUUCUAGGGAUAUUAUCACAUCACCUGAAAAUAAAAGUUUUAUCUCUCUCUCUUUUUCUUUUUUUCUGAGAUGAACUCUUGCUCUGUUGUCCAGGCUGGAGUAUAGUGGCAUGAUCAUGGCCCACUGCAGCCUCAAAUUCCCAGGCUCAAGUGACCCUCCCACCUCAACCUCCCGGGUAGCUGAGAUUAUAGACAUGCCUGGUUAAUUUUCAAAUAUUUUAUAGAGGUGAGGUCUUCCUAUGCUGCCCAGGCUGGUCUUGAACUCCUGGACUCAAGUGAAAUUCCCACCUUGGCCUCCCAAAGUACUGCGAUUACAGUCAUGAGUCAUCACACUCGGCCUGUCUCUUCUUUUUAAAUUAGAACUCUCCUCAUUUGUCUUUCCCUUUUUAUAGUGUUGGCUGGGACCUCCAGUACUAUGUCAACCAGUAGUGGUGAUAUUAGGCAUCUAUUCAUUAUUCCCAGUCUUCAAGGAAAUGCAUAUAAAUUUUCUACAGUAGGUAUAAUGUUUGCUCUAAGACUUUUGUCUAUGACUUUUACCAAAUUAAAGAAUAGAUGUGGGUUUUAUCCAAUGCUUUUUCUGCAUUCAUUGAAUAGUCAGAAAUAUCCUU